GUAGGUGCUUUAGACCACUGAGCCAUCUCUCCAGCCCCUAUUAAUCAGUUUUGUAGUGUACCGUGCGAGAGCAAAAGUGCACCUUGAACCCUUUCCUGGCCUCUGCUGUGGGCUGAGAGCACUGAAGGGGGCGGCACAGUG
rnacentral:snoRNA from 1 species